UGGAACCAGUACAUGAGCAAACCAUUGCGUGAGUCGUACUACUACAACUGGCCUGUUUACUUCCCGUAGCUACAUCUCUUCUACCAUUUUUUUUUCAGUUGCAUUCCUUGUCUUGAACAAGUGACUAGCUAGGGUUGGGCUCAUGGAGACAUAUAUUAACAGUGUUAAACUUUCCAGGUGUAUUGUGAAUUAUUGUUAUUAAUGUAUUUAGCUGUUCAUGCUGUUACUUUUUAAUAAUCUGUUGUCCUUUCAAAAAAAUUUCCUGUGUUCAUGUGACAUUGGAUGUUUUUUUUCUUUUCUUGUGGUUUGUUCCACCCCACUAUUGGAUCCUUUUAACAUUUCUAAGCCAUGGUCGUCAUCUCUUGCCACCAUUAAGGCUGCACUGUAGCACUUACCAUGGAAAUUUUACUGGUGCAUUUUUUUCUGAUCUUUCUUUUUUACCCCCCUCUGUAAACAUUACUGCUUCAUAUUAAACACGUUUCUUUGUAUAGUUAAUAGCUCAUCCACAUGUCAUGGAUUUAUGCUUCAUCUGUUUUGCAAUGCACAGACAUACUAUUUGUUUACAUAUUAUAGCUUAUUUACUUGCAUACUCUGGAAUUAUCUUUUUGCAGCUGGCACGACAAGGCUAUGAUGUUUGAACACUACCACUGGAAGAAAGCAAUGGAGAAGAACCAGCCGUACCAGUUCAAGGUGAGAUCUUUAAACGCUUGCUACCGGUAUUACCUAUCAUAUUCAGCGAGUUUCUUCCUCUUCUUUUGUGCCUUUUUUCCAUGCCAAAUAUUUUUGGAGAUGAUGAGCAAUAUUUGGGGAAUCAUGCUGGAAUUAGAGUUGGGAAUACGACCAGAGGUCUGCUAUACCUAUUGAAUGGGCUGGAAGUGGUUCAACACUCUGGUUUAUGCUUCUGCAUGAUUUGACAGUACAUAAAGAAAUCAUAUCCAAGUGAUUAUGAUAUUUUUGCUAAACAAUUUAUAUACUGUAAUUUGCUUAUGACUCUCUUCAUCUGCAAUUCCAGUUUGCGAUGCUAUAUCUACUGUAGAAUUAGACAAUUGUCCGUGGCGUCAAGUCUCAUUGAUCUAUGCUUGUCAUGCCAGGGUCAUGUUAGCUAAUUGGUUUUGCCUUGGUGCAUUUUAUUUGACGUACUAUUGCCUGUUAUUAACAUGCUUUUCCCCUUCCUUUUAUUAACAUGCUUUUCCCCUUCCUUUUUCUCCAGUGGAACCAGUACAUGAGCAAACCAUUGCGUGAGUCGUACUACUACAACUGGCCUGUUUACUUCCCGUAGCUACAUCUCUUCUACCAUUCUUUUUUCUGUUGCAUUCCUUGUCUUGAACAAUUGACUAGCUAGGGUUGGGCUCAUGGAGACAUAUAUUAACAGUGUUAAACUUUCUAGGCGUAUUGUGAAUUAUUGUUAUCAAUGUAUUUAGCUGUUCAUGCUGUUACUUUUUAAUAAUCUGUUGUCCUUUCAUCUACUGGUACGUGGAAAUUGCAUUACUUGAAUGGCUUAAUGAUUUGAAAUAAGAGCAUGUGCACAGGUACAGAUCUCAAUUGAUAAUAGCGGCUUCUAAUUUAGAUAUAAUGCGUGCACAGCAGCAACCCAAGAAGGUGAAAGCACCUAUCUUUAGACCUUUAUGCUAGACUUUUCUGUGGGCAUCCUGUUCAUCAUGGCACAGCAAUUUGGGGUGCUUUUUUGAUCUUGAAGGUGAAACUGUAAAUUUGGAGAAGUUUUUUCUUAGGAAAACAUUUUAGAGUUGUCAUUCUGAAGUUUAUAUUAUCAAUAUUGAGUGGUUUGCUCUUCAAUUUUGACUCUCUGUAUUCUAUGAGGAGGCCAUCUGUUGUUGGUCAUGGUUUUCAGUUGAGUAUCUGAUGCACAUAGUAGACCUAGCGUAGAUGUAUUUAACUAUAUGCAUAGGGCUGAAAUCAGAUCGAAUACUAGUAUAUCUAUAUCUAUAUUUAUUUUGUUUGACGAAUACAUAUGCAGAUAUAGAUGUUAGAUUUUUAUAUCCAUAUUUGUUUUAAAUAGAUACAGAUACAAAUCGGAUACCGAAAGUAUGGAUACAAAUAUGAAUAUAAAUCGGAUCACUAAAUUUUAUGACCACAAAAUCAAAGAUAUUACUAAGGAAAUGAUAAAUUAAAUUAAUAUCAUAUUAAAUUGGUCAUUUAUUUUCUUAAAAGUUUAUGAGUAUUAAAUAAAAUUAAAUAGGGUUACAGAUGAAAACGAAUAUUUGGAUACGUAUCGGAUAGUUGUCUAUCCAUAUUUAUAUCCAAUUUUUUUAUGCAUAUGGAUACAUAUAUGGAUAUUAAUCGAAUGCUCAAAUUUCUAUCCAUAUCCAAAUAGUUUUGGAUACAAAAAUAGAUUUGGAUAGAUAUUAUCCAAUCCACUUUCAUCCUAUGUAUUUGUGUUAAAGACUGACUAGAGGAAUAAAAGAUUCCAUUCCAUGCUCGGACCUAAGUCAGUUUUGGAAAGCCAAGUUGGAGAUAUGAUCAAAUAAGGCUGAUAUCAUCAAAUUUAGGUAGAUUUGGAGAGGCUCCGCAUCAAGAUCAAUCUAAGAUCUUAGUCAAUAACGAGAAGGUGAUUUCCAACCACUUUUUCAUUUUUGUACUAAAUCAAAUCUUAGUAGAUUAUAUGAAUUUCUUCUACAAUAAUUUUCCUUAUGCAUAAAAUUCUCUUACCCUUUUAGCAAGAAGUAAAUGUGGACACAUUCAUGGAUAGGUUCAAGGGUUCUGCAAUUGUUUAUAGGGAUGCCUAACUUUUGAAAAAAGUAAUCCUGAAUUGAAUAAAAUUUCUAGUUCUUUUCUCGGUUGUUUUUGAAUUUCGAGAAUUUUUUUAUGAUUGUUUCUUCUCCCUUCUAUCUUAUUUCUCCAUCAUUGGGUAGAUCUUUCUCAAGGAUAAAGAUUACCAUGUGCACUAUUUUGGUAGUAGAGCGGAUCUAGUUCGUAUGUGAUAUUCUAUAUGGUUAUUGAAGUGACGCCCCAAUAAUGGAGAAUGAUACAAGAGAUGUGGAGAUCCGAUAGUUGCAAGGACAAAUAAUGCAACUAAGGAUAAAUUAUAAUCGUAUAGUUGGUCAUAAUCGCCGCUUUAGAGGAUUUUCUUAACAGGAUCACCACCAUCAAAAUAUUCUUUUAAGCUAUGGAUGUCCACAACAAUAAGGAGGUGAAGAUUGUGGGUAUAAAUCUGGUGCAAGAAUAUCCAACACUUUUAUGUAAGCAUUGUAAAAAUGAAGAUUACUAAUUGGCCAAAGAUAAAUAUGCAUCUAUGCAGGUGCUUCCUUCUAAUAUAUCAUUCUCACUCUCUUUAUCAGUCUUAUAUGAACCUUAGAGGGUGAAAUAAGCAUCACUAACUACCAGAGGAGUUUUUUAAGAUCUCCAUUUAGGCAUGUUGUCUUAUGGACGAGAACUUGUGUAACUCAUGUGACGCCCCCAACUCAAGAUCGUAAACCAGGAGUCCCAAUAAUAGCCACAUACUUAUAGAAAACUCUUCUCACAAGCAUGCAAAAUAUCUCAUCAUAAUAUCAUAAACAAGCAACGGAAUAAAUUUAAAUAAUCAAUGAUCAAACUUUAUUUAAAUAACUAGAAUCUAAAUUUAAUAUCUUAUAGAACCAACAAUAUUUAAAAGAUCUUACAUCAAACUCUAGUCAAUUCUUCAUCUAAAUUAAACAUAUCAAAUUCGACCCCUAGUCACUUCUAAUCAUGACCCUAUGCUAUCUUAGUUUUCAAAUCUGUAAAAAUAAUAAGACGUAGAAUAAUGAGCUAGGCAACCUAGUAAACAAUGAACACUUUAACCACAUUAAUCAAACAAUAAAUUAAUUUUUUAUUUUAAAAAAUAAGCAUAUUAAAUUCAUUAAUUUAAAAAUAAAUUCUAGUAUGCAAUAUUAUCAAAACAUUACGCAUGUCAAAUUUAAUCUUUUUCAAAAUCAAAUUUCAUUUAUAAAUCUAAAUUCUUUCAAAUUAUCAAGUUCAUUUCGUCAACCAUGAGCUAUGACCAUAUUUUUUCUAUUAAAAUAUAAGCUUAGUGAUAAUCAAAGUGCCAACAUAUAACCUUCACUGGCAAGAUAUCGAUAGGCCAACAUAUAACUCUUACUGAUAGAGUAUCAAUAUGCCAAUAUAUAAUAUCCAUUGGUAGGGCGCCAACGUAUUACCCCCACUAGCAGGGUAUCCGUGUACCAAUACAUAACCCCCAUUGACGGGGUAUCGAUGUAAUAGUGCAUAACCCCCACUAGUAGGGUAUCGAUAUAUAGUGAGGUUAUGAAAUUAUCUUGAAUUAAACUCUCUUUUCAUAAAUCAUUUUAAUGCUUCAAAUUGAAAAAUACAUAAAAUCAUCUGAUAACAAAUUUAAUUGAACAUAAUCCAUAAUAAAAUCAAUACUUUCAAUCAUGCAUCAAUUAAUAUUCCAUAAUAUGAGAUAUUCAAUAAAUAAAUAUUAUGCUUUGAGUUCAUAAAUCACAGAUAAUACGACUUAAAACUUAAUAAUAUAAAUAUUAUAUAAUUUGUCGAUAAAUUUAGAAAAAGAGUUACAUUACUUGCCUUGCGAGCGAAACCAAACUACAGAUCCAAAUAAUUUCGAGAAUCCCUCUCAAAAUAUAAGACUCUGACGAGCACUCAACUGAAAUCUUCGAUGUUGCAGCGUAAGCCAAGAAAAGAAGAAGGAACCAGCGGUGGUGAUCGGCAAAGUCUAUCAUUGGUAAGAUGAAAGGGGGUGUAAGGGUCUUUAAAUAACCGUUCCUAGAUUUUCUAGCUUCCGUAGGACAUCGAGAUAGAGAAGGAGUCCGUCUUCUAUUCUAAGUUGAAUAGGACUCUAUCUCUUUGUUUUCCAUCUCCUACUCCAACUCUUACAUCUAGGCCAGUCAAGUAGACUAAAUCCAGUUCCUUAUUAGCUGAGCUGGAUGUUAUAGCGCAUUACCUAUAUAGCUUAUAGGUUUUGAUCUAUGAUAAGAUCACUGAUUGCAACAUAUGUCAUAUGAAUAAUGUGUAUCAUACAGGCGUUGCAUAUAGAGAAGAAGUUGCGAUGAGUCUAGAGGGCAAGAAGGAGAUCCACCAAUGUAUGUGCUACGCCUUCUUCCUUCAAGGGCACUAUAACUGCCCAUGCAGUCUAAAACUAUAACCGCCCACUACGAAGUUAAUAGAUUCGAUCAAUUGUAGUAGAACAGACUUGCCCCUAUUCCAUUCAAUUACCAUUUUGGUCUUAUUCCUUCUAUAAACAUUAAAAAGAAAAUAGGUAAUUUGGUCUUCAUGAUAAAAUCCAAACUAUCGUAAAAUUCAAUGCAUAUUAAAUGUUUUCUAUUUUCUACACUUAUCUAUCCAACCAAACUUCUAAAAUAUUCUAUUCUGUGGAAUAUGGAUUUAUUCCUUCAAUGGUACAAGAGGUAUCCCUUCCAAAAUCUAUUCUACAACCACAUAUCUCUGGGAGACUUUUCCAGCAAGCUAGUUAGAUGGUAUCUUUCUCUGAGUUUACUUUAUUCAGCAGCAUUAGUGGCGCAAACAAUGAACUUAAUAAAAGGGAAUACACAAAUCAGUACUCUAGAUUCCGGCCACUUGAAGUAAUUGCUGACUAGUUUUCGUGGUUGACCAGUGUUGAUUUACGUCCAAUAAAAUCAGUGCCCAAAGGUAAAGACCAUAGAUGGUGCCUAGGAAGACAUUUAUUUCCCAUAGCUACAAAGUAUUGUUGUCAAUUAAGUAAGGAGAAUGGAUGAAGAUGUAUAGGGGUGUAGAGAGGGGUCAGAGUGGCCAUGUAGAGCUGGGACCAUCUCCUAGAUAGCAUGGUCCAUUGGCAAAAGAGGACACCCCCCCCACCCCACCCAAAAAAAAAAAAGACACCACAACACAAGUUCGAAUUCUUCGUCUUUUUCGCUAUAGAGACCGUUGAAGUUAUCUGAUCAUGAAGAUAGAUGGCUGUCAAAUACGACACAUCAUCUCUUGGAUACCAAAUAACCAUGUAUCUGUACGAUUAAAUGAUGCAGCGGCAAUCGACGACUUUAUAGCCCUAUGCUAUGCAAAAGAUCGAUGCACCGGGACCAUUAUCGACCGUACCCUCUAAAGGCAAAAUGCCACUUUCCAUGCCUAAGGCUUAUCGCCCCACCACCAAUUGGACUUUGUUCCUUCUAUUUCCUUUGGGUCCUAUAUGCAGUUGUGAUAAUUACCGCGAUCCCCUUUAUCUUGUCAAAAGAAACAAGAAGCUGCAUGCCCAUUACCUAAAACUUGAGCCACAUCAAACUACCUUCUGGAGCUCCAAAACCAUGGGUCAGAUCAAUCACCUAUCGCCUUCUUUCUUCUCUUUUCCUUUGUUUUUUUAAAGAAAACCUAGCACCUACUUGUGAUGCUUUUCCUUAAACAACACACACACACACACAAAAGGAAAAAAAAUCAUAAUAAAGAGGAUAAUUUAAAUUAAGAUGAAACCGGUAUAGCCGUUACUUUAGUAAAUUAAGUAUCGGGGGGAGAAAAGAUUAAGGUCAAAACACUAGUGUUUUCUUUCUUUUCUUUGCUUUACCAAGAUUUUUUUUAAAAAAAUCAAACUUUUUUCCUGAAAAUGCUGCUAGAGUUAUGAGAGUUAUGAAUGUCAAAAUCAUACGAAAGAAAAAGAUUUUUUCCUUCAUUUCUAUAGUCAUGGUGGUGGUGGGGAGAGCAAGUAAUCAGUAGUUCAAUAGAUAGUGGUCAUAGGCAUGGCAAGCAAACCAAGAACCAGAGAGAAAUAUGUUCAUAAUCCUAAGCACCUUGUGGAAACUUAUUUCUUUCACUUUGUAAUCUUAAAAUCCCAACUUCCAAGUCGGUGCUAAAUCCCACAGGAAAACAUAUCUGAAUAGUCGUGGUCGAGGGCCACGAAAAAAAUCAAGCAAAUAUGUCAUUACCAUACUUUUGAUCUCUUAUAUUAUAACACAAACUCCAGACUAGAGUUUUAUUCCACCUUUUAUGAAAGCACCAUCCUGGCAAGAAAAACUAUCUUUAACAUAUAACAAUAGGCUCCACUUUAUAGUAAAUUUAGUGCCAAUUAACAAGAAAACCAAAUAAUGCACACUCCCAUAUAUCAAAAAAUAACAUAAAAUUUCAUGCGACUUCCAACACUCAAGAAACCAUAUAGCACAUUAAAUUUCUCACUCCCAUAUAUCAAAAAAUAACAUAAAAUUUCAUGCGACUUCCAACACUCAAGAAACCAUAUAACUGACUUCAAAUCACAUUAAACUCACAACUGCCUCUGCAAACUUUACGAAGGUGGUUAAUGUAUGCGGUCGCCAGAAUUGCCAUACAGUUUGGUCUCAAUCUUGAUGGUCUUGAGGAUGGUGAUGUUUAAAGGUUAAGUUUGGUUGGAGAAGUUCCAAGCUUGGAUUGCCUGACUGCAAUGAAGUUCUGAGAGAAUUUGAUGGGAGAAGCUGUGAAGCUGAGUUUUCCAUAUGAAGGUGCUUGUAUUGCUUUGCAUUGAAGUCAGUUGAAGCAUUCAUAUAUGAUGCAAACAUCGAUACAGGCUGACAACUAUGGAACCCUUCUGCUCGAGACGGAUGGCCUAAAUGGGAUAUAUGUGCAUUAGAUGGAUCCCAGUGAUGGUAGGAGGGGUAUGACAUGGCAUUAUUCUGCAAUCCACUUCCUACAUCGUUUCCUUUGAUCAUGCUGCCUUUCUCAAUGCUGGGUUCCUUCACGGCUUCUUUUUCUUUAUUCUUCAAGAGUACAUCUGAAUUCCAAAAUGUGGAUUUUUGCACCAUCAUUGCAUUCUCGACAGUAUUGCUGUCUAGCAUAUCUCCAUUUGCCACACUAGAAGAAGUGGCUAAUUGGAAAGCUCUACCAUCAAGAAUAAAAUCAGUACCGUCUCCAGUGGGAUGGAAAGAGGGAGCUUGAGGUGGAGCCAGUUUGUGAGAGAUUGCCAUGGACUGAGGGAAUUGAAUGAAAUUUCCUGGUGGCAUCUGGAGUGGGGGAAGCUUAUCGAUCUCAUGUUGAGCAGCAUUAAGCAACCAAUCCACAACUUUGCUAGGCUGGUUAACCCCUAGCUUAUCCUGAAGGUCAUACACUUGAAUAGCAGUCGGCACUGAGAGCCUCACACGCCUAUCCCUCAAUCCUCUUAUAGUACUGACUUUGCUAUGCCUAUCUUUUCCUCCAAAUGUGCGUGAGGCUCGUACAAUUCUUGGAUUUUUUAGUGCUGGCCAUGGUCUUGAACUUACUGGGAACUUGUCAACAUCGGUACCUCCUUCUUCUCUAGCUAAAAGCUCUUCUUCUCUUGAAUUUCUUAUCAUCUUAAUACUUUCAUCACUUCUUAAUCAAGUGUUAAACUUGAAAUUGAGAAUUCCCUGCAUAAAUUACGCUCUUCAAUCAUUCUGGAAUCAGUCAACAACACAUAUAUUUCAUGUAGUCUUUCUGCUUCAUGGAAGAUAGGCAAAUGUUUGCUCGAAUUUUUAAAAGUUGUUCGAUCUAUGCACAAUUUCUUUAUCAUCUGCAUGAGUUAUAUGUUAGUGAAUUACUCUAUCUUAAAGAAACUACUCUUCUUUCUAUCUAUUAACAGUUGAUGAUUUCUAGUCUGUAGAUGCACAAGCUAAAAUGGUACCAAGGAAAAAAGAAAUUGUAUGUCUGCAACACAAAUUCGAGUCUCACAACCAGCACAUGCACAUACAAUACCCAAAAAAGGGGGUGAGGAGAGGGAGGGAGAGCCAGUGCGAGCGAGCAAGCGGGCGAGAGAGAGAGAGAGAGAGAGAGAGAGAGAAGCUUCAUCCGAUACUAAAUNNNNNNNNNNNNNNNNNNNNGAGAGAGAGAGAGAGAGAGAGAGAGAAGCUUCAUCCGAUCUAAAUCCAAAAAUUCUUGAUUAAAACAAUUUUAUUUUAGUAUGGAAAAUUGAGAAAAAAACUUGCAAGAAACACUAUGAUCUGUAGUGUGUAAUUAAUCUGAGGAUAUAUAAAAAAAUUUAAAAAGAAAAUGAAGAAGUAACAGCAGCAGAAUCUGCACUUCUCGACUUACAUCCAAUAAUCCUUAAUUUAUAUCAUAUAUAUGAGAUCUAUGUACUAAGGGAAAAAAGCUUGAAGUAAUCUGAUAUUCAGAAUUCCUGCAUAUUUAAAUCUAUCAUCCAUGAAAUAAGUUCUAUUUCAUGAGAUGAGGAUAACUUUAUCAGUAAAAUGCAAGCAGCCAAUGGCAUAUAUAUUUCUUGAGAUCUAUGCACUUCUCGACUUACAUCCAAUAAUCCUUAAUUUAUAUCAUAUAUAACGGAUCUAUGUACUUAGGGAAAAAAGCUUGAAGUAAUCUGAUAUUCAGAAUUUCUGCAUAUUUAAAUCUAGCAUCCAUGAAAUGAGUUCUAUUUCAUGAGAUGAGUAUAACUUUAUCAGUAAAGUGCAAGCAGCCAAUGGCAUGUAUGUUUCUUGAUCAUACCUAUUAAAAGAAAACCCUAUAUUUUCUGAGGGACAAUUGGGGGAAAGCUAACUCUCCUUUGUUUCACUAUAGCGAUGAAGAAAUUUGUGAUUAGCCUACCUGUAAGUGCAAAAAUCUUCAAAAAGAUAUAUUCCUCGGGGGUUCAGCGCAAAAGAAGCUUCAGAGCGGGGCUGUGCACCUCCAACUUUGCUCAAAUUUAAGCUGGUCCAGUUGCCUGUAGGGAUCAAAUUUGAAAUGAUAUGGUAUUGAAUUCAUAACCAGUUCGAUCGAGCAAGCUGCGCAUUUUGGGGUAGGGAAGAGGAUAGAUACGCAAAAGGCCUAUAAAAAGAAAAAGUGCCGUGCAUUUGCAAACUUGUGGCUCAUAUUCAUGCCUAUGAAAUUGACAGAAAAGUCAUGGUUUUUAUCUUUUUCUGAUCACAUACAUCUCUCAAUCACUGCCUUAUUGACAAGGGUAAGUUGGUCUUACCUUAACCUAGAUAUUUUUUUGUUCAAAUAUGUUCUGUAUUAUCGUAAACAUACUAAUAAAUGUAUCAUGUAUUUGAGAAUCUUCGUACCUCUUAGAGCAUUGAAGAUCAUGGAAGGGAUAUGCUGCGGCGGUUAGUUGAGAAUCACGAGCAUAAAAUCCUAGAAAAAUUUGCUAUAUUCAACUCUUGGGACCAUUGUAAUUAAUUUUUACCAUCAAAUCACCUUUGCCUUGUCAAGAACUUGGAGCUAAACAUGCAAAUAAAUGUUAUUGCGCUCUAUUUAGCCAUAAUGAUGUAUAAUAUCCAUAAGAUAUAAGAUAAAUGUCAAACACAGUGUAUGGCAGAUCCAUUUUAAGAAAUAUAUCAUGUCACUCACCAGUAAUAUGGAAGGUAAGCAAGCAAAGAUGUGGUCGCAUUGAGAAGGUAUAGCCUAAUUUUCUAACUGUUAGCAAUAUCAGCACUAUAUCUUAUCAAUAUUCUGAUGCAUGGUAAUUUUCAAGAGGAUAAACUGUAUACGAAGUCAAGUCAAAUGUUCAAUAUUAGAUCAAGAAUUUGAUGAGCAAUAUCAAUUAAAUGCAAGUGUACAACAAGAUGAGGAUUGAUCUAUAGAUAUCACAUGCUACAGCUUCAUUUAAGACUAAAGGACCUUCCUCAAAUGUAUACCUGAAACCCUAAGAAGCUACAAGCCUACAAUAUUAGCUCAGGGACCAACACAACCUCAUUAAGGCAUCCACCGAUGCUAGGAGGACCACACAAAUUGCAAUACUUCUUUGGCAGGCAACUUUGUAGUGAGCAAACUGAAUCUAAUGCAGAUAUCGGAAGGUCGCAAACAGAAAGAGGCAUAUUUGCAGUGGCGCCUAGAUCUUCAUGAUUAUGGCUCCCAGAUGCACCGUAAUGGGUCGCACUCAACAUCAUGCCAAUGUGUAAAGCAUCUUCAACAUUGAGAUGCUUAAAACGUCCUCCCACCUUCAGUUCUCCUUAGCAAUGAAACAGGUCGCAAAUAGGCUUUACUUACCUUGCUAUGGUACAUAGUAUCAUUACACAAGGAGAACGAAAAGCAUGCCAAAACUCUGAUUCUGCAAAAUAUUUCGCACUUGAAAGAAAUAUGAGAUAAUUACUUCUUCAAGAAAAGGGUAGAGGAUUCAUCUACUACAACAGCAAGCUGAAGUGCUUCAUCUCAAUCUGCCACGAUCCUUCUGCUCUGGAGGGUGUUUUCAUGCGCGUUAUUUCAACUCUUCUCAAGUUAAUAUUGGCAGGCCAUCUCCUUCCACUGGCUUGUUAAAGCUGUUCCCCAUUUGUGUAGUAUUUCAGAGAGAGAGAGAGAGAGAGGUUAUUCCAUGCUUUAAUCCAUAGAAUAAGGCAUUCUAUAGAUGCCAAAACUCUUCACAUCUAUCUGUAUCCCAUAAUAUGGUAACAAAAGAGUGUAGCUAUUAGUUCCUUUAGGUUUCUCAUGAAGUGACAGGCCAAUAUAAUAUGAUUUUACUAGGACUGUAUUUUACUUGAUAUGGAGAAAGGCCAAAGAGAAAAAUCUCUUCCUCGAUCCGAGUUCUCUUUUGGAUCUUGCUACACCAGAACGAGCAUGACCUCCAAACCCACAAGCCCUGCAAGAGGGGAAGCAGAUUAUAAAAUAAGAUAUUCUUGCAGGUAUCCCAUCACCCUCUUAAAACAAAACCAUACUCUAUAUACUCUUUUCUGAUAAUGGAGAGAAAACAAACACUAGCAGGGUCCCUUAAAUUGUUAAAGAAACUUAUUGACAAAGAAUUGAAGGAAAACGGGAAGGAUUCCAAGUGAAAUCUUAGUUGCAAAACUACAUGAUCUCUGGUAUAGUUGUUAGUCUUAUUUUUCUUGUUUGAAGAAGCAGAGAAAAAUGCGAUAUUCCCGCAAACCCAAACCCCAAUAGAAUGUUCAGCUUCUCAAAUCUAAAUAUUUAUGAGAUCACAGGCUCCAUACAUCAGCAUUAUACUUCUUGUACAAUAUUUUAAAGCUGCAGUAAAGAGAGAUGAGAUUUAUUUUCUUUCACUAAGAGGAUUCCAUCUCUCCCCUUCUGCAGGCUCCCUUGCGGCUACCAAACCCCAGAAACAGGCACCAUUUUUUUUAGUCCUGGUUGCCAGAGAAGAAAUGGGCAUCUUCUGAAGUCCUCAGGGAUAUGUUACUUUCAUAAUUUGACAGUUGUCAUAUGCCAAUUUUUCAAGGGUACCCUUUUCUAUAUCUGUGAAUUGGAUGCACAUAGGAGGAUUUUUAGGGUUUCACAUGGAAAGCAAAGCUCUGAUGCUUUUGCAGAGAGAGAGAGAGAGAGGUGGAAAUGCCAAAGUGAACAGGCCUUGGGAGAAAAGAGAUGGUCCCAAAAGCAGUUCAUUCGUCAGCCAUCAGCUAGCAGGCUGAGUUGGUCAAUCCUGGUGUAUUUAAUCUGAAGAAAGCUUACAGUUUGUGUCCUUAGUGAGCCUUUAAAGAGAUGCCAGCCAAAAUAACAAUGGACAAUGCUCAAAUAGCAACUCCCAUGUAACAGUAUAUACUCCUAUACACUCGAUUUCUUUGAGUUGCUUGGCAGUGGAUCCUCUAAAACCCUAGUCGUAGAGAAAUUCCUACAACUUGUGUAUUGCGAUAGACGAAUAAAAGUAUAAAUUAAAUUCUUUUUCUAUUAAAGGCACCCACCGAAAUCCAGCAUGUUAGAUGCACCUGAAUUCCACAGCCAAUAAAAAUGUGUUACGUAACCUGCAUGUAAGAAUUUCCUACAACCAAGUUUUGUAGAGGUUUGCACUCGUUUUCUUGAUUUUUGAAAGGAAGAGGUUAACAAUUAUCUCCAUUGUAAGUGGCACCGUUUGUAUCUUUGCCUUUUGGCUUAUUUAUAACUCUUCCAGUCUCCACAGUCUGCAGAACCAUAUUCAAUUUCAGGUCUUCAUUUCUCUAACUCCUCUCAACCCUCGUAUCUCAAAAAGAGAAAUAGUUAGUUAUUCUAUCUACUUGUUCUUUGUGCCUGAAUCUUGACCCAGGUUUUAAGCCUAAUUUUACCUGUGCGCUUUUAUUUUAUUUUUAUUUCAUUUCACUUCUGGGUAGUAUACCGCUGUGAUCAAAUUUGAUAAGCUCAGACUACAAAAAUCCUCCUGAAUUAGACUCUCGUUGUAGCAAGAGUUGAAAAAAAAACCAAAAGUCUUUUGAUGUUUUCAUCAUAAGAGGGUAUGGUUGGGAGCUCAUAUAUGCCUCCACAUCAGAAUUAAUUUAACCAAGGAUUCUUGAAUGGCAAUAAUGUUCGACAGUAUGGAAAGGCUUGGACUGAAGCCACGUAAUUGUUGUCCAUCAGUCUGAACCCAUGGUCUUGGCCUUGGGCGCAGUAGGUGGUUGGUCAACACUCGCUAACAUAAUUUCCACUGAGACCUUGCACCUCUUUUGGGCUCGUUUGGUUCGUGGGAAGCAUUUUUCCCUCUAGAAAUAUAAUUCUUGAGAAGCAGAUUUCUAGAAAGAUCGAGAAUGUCUGAGUAUGUACUUUUGGCAUGUUUGGUUUAACAUGGAGAAGUGACAGAUUUUUAGAGUGCUUAUGUUUGGUUGACCAGGAAAAGUUAUGUGUAAUUCCUAUUAUACACAAGGGGUAGGAAGGCCUAAGGGAAUAAGUGACAAGAACAUCGCGUAGGGGAAAGGUACAUAAAGAUGGCGUUAUUCCUUUUGCAGAUUACUUGCAGCUUUCCCUUCUAGCUAUGUGCAUGAAGUGCAUUGAAUACCUUCGUUUACCGCCCCUACAAUUUAUUUCUCCUCUCUGUGUUGCACUGUUCAUCCCAUUUGUGGGACUCUCAAUAAGUGUGUGUGUGUGUGUGAGAGAGAGAGAGAGAGAGGUGCAUGCAUGACCAGGGACCAGGGGGUGUGGCAUUGCAUGGGAUGAAGCAAGAUGUUUUUUCUUUCUGCUGGGCUGGUUCCUGAGGAGCCCAUUGCUCCUCAUGAAGGCAACCAUUUGCCUAACAAGUAAGAAGGUGGUGAUGCUUGUGGGGUGCUGAUGGGUUCUCUGAACAGAAACUCAUGUUAUUAUCUCCCUAACAAGUAAGAGGGUGGUAGUGUUCCAGAUAUCACGCACCAUUGACACAUGCAACAAUCCUUCAUGCAUCAUAGACUAUCAUCACAUGUUUCCAUGCCAAUCCUGCAAACCAUCCUAUAUCAUCCAAAUCCAUGAUCAAAAUCAGAGGGUGAAAUCAUUAGGGUGGUGAGGUCGUCGAUUCGCUUCACCUUAGGGUGAAAUUAUUAGGUGGAUAUAUUUUGAUGGAUCUGGUCCACCUAAUAUUUCAAUUAGUGUUAAGCAACGUGCAUGGUUUAUUUAAGAGGAAAGAUUGUUCCGAUGGAUGGCUGUGACUGCAUUAAUCAUAAUUAUUUGGAAUUUUUGCUUUUUUUAAAAAAAAAUCACCUGUUGGAAACAACGGAGCAUGACUCUUCUAAAAUAAAGAUGACCGCGAAGACGGAGAGCCGGCUGAUGGUGAGCCGAAGCAGGGUGACGGUGGGCCGAACCAGAGGGAUACGCGACGGAGGCGGCGGGAGGUGUGCAGACGACGGUGAGGAGGUCAGCACGCUUAGGAGCGUCGCGGACGACGAAGGUGGCGACGAGGGCGAGGAGGCGGUUGCGGAGGGUGGCGUAGGAGUAGAGGGCGGUGGGAGAGGGAGGGAUACGCCGGGGAAGUAUGCAGUCUCGCCGAGGAGGACAGGAUCCUUGGGUGAUGACUGAUGAAGAACGCGAUUCAUGGUUUGGUUUUAAUUGCAGGUUCGAUUGGUUGUUAUCAUUUUAAUUAGUUACUUAGAGUUUUGUAAUUUUAUAGUACCUGCAUACUUGAAUUCUCUUAUUUCUAGCCGUGAGCUUGUACAGGCUUGGCUAUAUGGAGGAACCAAAUCAGAUACUGUAGCUUUGGUUUUGCAAGAUUGGAUUUGCUGCAUUAUGCUUAUUUGUGCUGCACAUUUUGUGUUAAAAUAUUGCAGCAGGAGAGAAAAACAAGAGAAAAACAGAAAAAAAAUAUUUUUUUUUGUAUUCUUUUAUAUUUGGUACAUCUCAGGAGCUAUAUAUAUAUUUCUAUAUAGACUUCAUAUAAAAAAAAUGAUAUAGGCUGCUAUAAGUUUGCACUAACAAAAGAAAAUACUAUGGGUGAUAAAGAUUAUGUGCUUUCUAAAAUUAUUCGAAUAAGAUCAUAUUAACAAAAAAAAAAUAUUGGUUGAUAUAGAAUCAUGCUAAUAAAGAAAAAUAUUACGGGGUUGUUAUAUGAUCCCUAAAAUUAUGUUAACAUUUUGUUUGGAACUCUGGAUUUCUUUUGAUGCUUGUCAUCUGAGGUAGGGUGGUAUUUUUUUUCCUACUAGCAUGUGCUGACUCUGAAUUUCUAUUACCUUCCAAAGAUCUGCAUCUAUUUUCAGCAUGUUACGGGUUCUGAAUUCAGUAUGUUGGAUAAGAAUAAUUGGUCUCAUCUCUCUUUUCUCUUAUGUUGAAUAUGUUCUAUGUUUAGUGGAAUUUAUUGGUUCAUGCAUAUGGGGCUGUUGAAUAGCUUCUAGGCUUCCUGCUGGGUGAAUCAAAUAGCUGUCUCCAAAUCAUCUUUCCGCUUGAAGCUUUUGGAGCACGUCUCUCCGAGUGUUUAUAAAAUAUUCCAUCCUGCAAUAGAGGUACAGCUUAAUUUAAUAAUUGACUUAUGCCUUUUAGACUUGGUUUCUUGUUUUUUGAUUGCUAAAGCUUGGAAAAACCCUUUUUCUCUUGAUCUUCUUCCAUUAUGUUUUUGACCAAAUACUGCAUUGCUUUCAUCAGGACCUUCCUAUGUUACAGAGGUUUUCUUUUUCUCAAAUUUAGGUUGUAUUUUGUCUCGACCUGCAUAUUUUUGUAGAUCUCCAGAUUUAUCUUCGUUUUGUUCAGCAUCGUUUGAAACUAAGGUGAAUUUGGCAUGCCUGAUGUGCAUUUCACUGCUGAAUUUAUUUGUAUCUUCUUUUUCUUUGAAUGUGAAUUUAUGCAUAUGCACACAUAUACUUUUAAGCAUAGAAGUAUAUGGACAUAUAUACACAUGUGCACACACGUUAAUGCAUGCAUGCAUAAGUAUACAUAUGUGCGAAACUGCAUACAAUUAUCUCUGUGUAAAUGUCUCUCUGUUUGGGCAUACUGACAAACAAAGGUGUUGUUUGUUUAUGCGUUUGCGUCUGCAUGUGAUCAGCGUAGAUGUGCCUGUUCAUCAUAAUGUGUUGUUAGCUUCUCAUAACUAGCUAGAAUUUCUAGUACUUCUUUGGAGCCCUAUUUCCAUCUUCUCUGAAACGAUUCAUUCUCCCAUGGAACUAGCCUGAUGCUAAGCUUAUUGCAGAUAUGGUGCCGCCAACAGCAACUCCUGCUCCUUUGCCAAGUUCAUAGUGGCAAAAAUUUGUCCUUAACUUCCUUUUUCAUAGUUCUUAUAUAUUCUGCCAUGGAUCUAACAUGUUGAUUGCAUGUAGAGGUCAACGAUUUUGUUUACCAGUAUUACCAUUUUCCUCAGCAAGAACUAAAACUGGCUUGUACGUUUCAUCAUGAUUCCAGCAUUCUUUGCCGCUCGGAUUCUGAUGGCGUGAUGAUUACGGUAACAAAAAUGCAAAUAUGUUUUGAAACAAUAGAAAAUAUACUCUUCUAGGUCUUUUAUCAUUUUAAGGUUCUAAAAAUGUCUUCAGCUUUUCUGAAAUUAUUUAACUAAGUUUGAAAGUUCCCUUGCUUUUUCUUUUUGUGCUUUGGUAAUCCUAGAUAAACAUAUGUUUUAGCGUUGCUUGACCAUGAGAUAUCUACUGAGUGGCUUAGAUGAAUUUAUCUUCACAAUUUUCUUAUAUUUGUGGUGCAUAAGUUCUGUAUUAUUUCUUCGAUUUGGUCGUCUCAGUUGUCCUCUCAUGCAGCACAUUUAAUAUUGCACUUCGUAGUUACAGAAUCACUUUCUGUUCUACCACUGUUUGCUCAUCUAUAACCAUCUGCUGAAAAUUAUCUUCUACAACUCAACAGUUAUGCAUAUAGAAUGAAUUCUAAAUUAUAGGACUAGGGCUUCACGUCGGUAUAAUCUAUAACAAGAGUAAACAUAUAUAAUUUUAUUUUGACUCAAAAUCCUUUUCUUUAACUAUUGUGGUUAUUUUACACAAUUUCAGAGCCAGCUUUUUUUUUUUUAGGGAGCAUCAUCUAUCAGACCUUGCAACUACACUCUCAGAGGGGGAUGCCGACAGCGACGAGGAAGUUUCAGAUCCAUCAGAGAAUGCUGGUUUGGAGUUGGAAAUGAGGUUAUUGUGGAUCCACCAGUCCAUGGAAGUACAAGUGAUGCACAACCAGUUUCUGAGACAACUGCAUCUGUCUCUGAGGAGGAUGAACCUAAGAAGUCUCAUGCAUCAAUUGUAAGUUGUUAUCUUUGCCAUGAAGUCUAUUAUGUAAUGUGCAGAAAUAAUAGAUGAUUGGAAAUUUACAACUGGUGCUGUCUUCUGUGUGUCUUUUACACAAUGUUGAAAAUUAUAUUUAACAUAAUUAUCAUGGAAUGGCUCUUUAAUCAAUCAUAAUCUUGCAAGACUUUAAAAUAUUGAAUUAAAAUUUAAUGCUCCUAAAAGUUCAGUUUUUCUUGUAUUCUUGAUUUUUGAGAAAACAUGCCUUUUUAAGUGUCAGACUGAAAGUUUUCCUCCACUGGCUAUUAUCCAUAUUGCUGCUUUUCUUUUUACUUAAUUUUAUCAAACUGGUAGGUUAAUAUGCCUCUGACAGUAUCUAGAAAGCCUGCUCUUGCACCUAAAACUAUUCAUCUUGGCACCAAAACUAUCCCUGAGAACAUCUUGCGUGAAGGCAGGAAACAACUGAGGGCAUGGAACAAGGAUUUGACUACAGAGGAGGUGAAAAAAAGAAGCAAUGGCAAAGAGAAAGAGAGUAGAAAUGUGCGAGAGUACUCAGGAAAGCCUACAUAUCAUGGAUGAAGUGUAGCAUAUACGAAGUUGUCUUAUACUGGAAUUUUGAUGAAGUUAUGCCACAUUUAGAUGGAUAGAUUAGAUCGUAUCCAAAAGAAAAAGAAAAAAAGGAAAAUUUGUGAACUAUACCAAUUUAUCAUUAUGUGGGUUCCAUCUGACAGGCAGCAGAGCCUUUAUAGCUUUUAAGGGUGCAUACAUGCAUGCUUUAUCUUGUUUGUCGGCACAUUUCUCUGGCAUACAUAUGUGCAUUCAACAUCGCUUGAAAAUUCCCCCCCCGGGGAGUAUCCACAUUUCUUGCCACUAGUCCACAAAUUCGAAAUCUCGUAGUGUCAAGCCCUGUCUAAAGUUUGAUGCUGCAUUCGACCAUCAAAUGAUUCGAUGAGUGUUGGAGCUACCUUGAAGUUUUGUUUUAGUAGUAGAAAUGCAUGAAAUACAAAUGAUUGUAUUUUGUUUUAAAAAAAGAGUGCUCAAUAAACAGACAAAAUGAAAACAUAAACAAAAUAAAAGAAAAUAUAAAAUAUUAAGUACAAUGGAGAGAAUGUGGGUUCUAGGUUAAUUAGGAAGAUUUGUUGGGCCUUGAGCAGGUAAGACACAGAGUGAAAAAGCAAGUACAUGCCAUAUUGAGGAUUUUAAAAGAGGAAGAUGAAAGAUAAUCAAGGAAGAAGAUGUAACCAUUAGUCAUAUAUAUAUAUAUAUAUAUAUAUAUAUAUAUAAUCACAGAAAUCUUAGAUCCAUAGCUUCCUUGUAGAUAGAUUAUUCAAAUUGAUGAAUAAGGGCCAACUUAAAUAAGUCGGUGAACUAUAAAGAAAGCACCAAAAUUUAAGAUGAUGACCUGUUUUAGAUUAGAAGAAAUCAGUAAGGACUAAAAUUAUGGAUGAACAAUAUGGUUCAUAAAGAUGGUGAAGAUGUCACACAAAGUCUAUAUUACUAUAUAGACAUGCAAUAUUGCUUAAGUGGGCAUGCUACCAUUUGAAUAAAAAUCCUCUAGCAAGUUCCAAUCUUUUUUUUUCACACAAUUUGGUUGUUUGACAUUUGUUGAUAGGUUUAUUUUUUUCGAAGUAUCCUUUGAGGCCCAUAGCAUGGAUAAAAACAAAAGAUGCAUAGUAUAGAAAAGCCUCAAGUUUGUUUAGCAUGAAUAAAAAGAGCAAUCUUAAAAUAACAAAUAAUCUUAUAUGAACAAUCUUAAAUAGCCAAGAAUUGCUUGUUUCAGACAUACAAGGGGCUCAGCACAAAAAUGUUGGUUUCAAUCCUAACCAUGAUUAGUUAGAUGCUAAUUCUUAUUAUUUAGAGUGCUGAUCUUCUAGGCCCAUGUUUCUGCUACCAUCUCUUUUAAUGAUUUUAAUUGGUUCCAUACUAAGUUUCUAACACCUGAAAACAAAGUCUUCUCUCUCUCUCAUGAAAAAUAGAAAAAUAAAAACUAAGACAAAGUUUCUUCACUUCAAGUAUACUUCAAAAAUCGAAUAACACAUUUUGACUUGAAAGUCAGUUGAAUUGAGUCGACUAAAAGACCUGAUCGAGUCCUCAAUGAGUUCUGUACAUGAAGACUUGAUAAUAAAAUAACAUAAGCAUGUAAACUACCAAUUUUCAGUAGCAUGCGUAUGACACAUAUACAUGACAUUUAAGAACUAAAAUAUAUUAAGAUUUAUUAAUAUAUUUCUUAAGCAAAAAGGUAGAAAAUCUACCUCUCAUCUCAUUAAGCAAACACAAA
rnacentral:lncRNA from 1 species